GAUGAACGCUAGCUACAGGCUUAACACAUGCAAGUCGAGGGGCAGCAUGUUGGUUGCUUGCAACCAAUGAUGGCGACCGGCGCACGGGUGAGUAACGCGUAUCCAACCUACCCAAUACUCAGGCAUAACCCGUUGAAAGACGGACUAAUUCCUGAUGGUAUGUAUUUUUCUCAUGAAUUAUACAUUAAAGAAUUUCGGUAUUGGAUGGGGAUGCGUCUGAUUAGUUAGUUGGUGAGGUAACGGCUCACCAAGACUUCGAUCAGUAGGGGUUCUGAGAGGAAGGUCCCCCACAUUGGAACUGAGACACGGUCCAAACUCCUACGGGAGGCAGCAGUGAGGAAUAUUGGUCAAUGGAUGAAAAUCUGAACCAGCCAAGUAGCGUGCAGGAUGACGGCCCUAUGGGUUGUAAACUGCUUUUAUGUGAGAAUAAAGUUAGGUAUGUAUACUUAUUUGCAUGUAUCACAUGAAUAAGGACCGGCUAAUUCCGUGCCAGCAGCCGCGGUAAUACGGAAGGUCCAGGCGUUAUCCGGAUUUAUUGGGUUUAAAGGGUGCGUAGGCCGUUUGAUAAGCGUGCUGUGAAAUAUAGUGGCUCAACCUCUAUCGUGCAGCGCGAACUGUUGAACUUGAGUGCGUAGUAGGUAGGCGGAAUUCGUGGUGUAGCGGUGAAAUGCUUAGAUAUCACGAAGAAUUCCGAUUGCGAAGGCAGCUUACCGUAACGUUACUGACGCUUAAGCACGAAGGUGCGGGUAUCGAACAGG
rnacentral:rRNA from 1 species